rnacentral:lncRNA from 1 species
ACUUCUCCUGGUCUCCCAUGCAGUGCAGGGCCCAAGCACUUGGGCCAUCCUCCACUGCCUUCCCGGGCCACAGCAGAGAGCAGGCCUGGAAGAGGGGCAACCGGGACAGAAUCCAGUGCCCCGACCGGGACUAGAACCUGGUGUUAUGGUGCCACAAGGCGGAGGAUUAGCCUAGUGAGCCGCGGCACCAGUGAGAUACUGCUUAUUAAUUUGAUUUAUCUAGGCAAGGGCUUACUUAUAAACCUCAAAAGUGGAAGGGAAGGAAGGAAGGAAGGAAGGAAGGAAGGAAGGAAGGAAGGAAGGAAGGAAGGAAGGAAGGAAGGAAGGAAGGAAAGAAGGAAGGAAGGAAGUCAAUUUCCUAUCCCAGUGUGACCACUGGGGAACUGGAGAUUUAAAUUAUCUCUUCACACCCUUUCUCUGGUGGAGAAACCAUACACACAAGGGAGUCUUCAAAUAGAAGCAGCUGAUGAUUUCCUUUAGUCAGACCCUGUGGGAACUUUCUUAUUCCAGAGGACUCUUUUAUUUCACAGUUCAACUUUUUGUUUUCACUUCUAUUUGAGAAUUUGAAAUAUUAAGAUUGUUUUUCACAAACCCUUUUAUACUCAUCUCAACCCACUCUGGGAUCUGUGUUGGUUAGACAACAUUUGCACACUUUCCAUCUACUGAAUUACUGUGUAAUUCCUUCCUCAGUUUAUUUCAAGCCUGCUUUGUGUUGGCUGUUGACCACACAGAGUUGUAUGUUAUUAAUUCCACAGCUUAUUUUGAAAAUUUCUCCAGAGACCAUCUCUUCCAUCCGCCUUCAGCCUGAGACACAAAGCAUACAGUCUCUAAUAUUUCUCCAUCAAAAGGGUUUGUGUUAUCAUUAUUUUUCCAUGUUCUUUCUGGAAUAACACCAUCUAUUUUGAGUUUUUAUUUGAUUUGCCUGGUCCAAGGAUCCUAGGCAAGAGUAAUAAAAUGAAGCAAACAUUUAUUGAUAGUAUUAUGUUACUGAAUGAAGGGAGCAAUUUAGAGGUAAAGAUUUUUUUUUUCCCCACAAGUAGUAUAUUACCAUCUGUUCCCAUUUCCCACAAAUCAGUACUGAGUGAUCAACAUGAAAGAGAAAACUGGGUCAACAUUUACAUUUCAAGUCAAGUUAGAUUUUGCUUUGUUUUACCAAAAUAA